GAGGGUAUAGCUCAGUGGUAGAGCGCAUGCUUAGCAUGCAUGAGUUCAUCCUGGGUUCAAUCCCCAGUACCUCUG
rnacentral:tRNA from 1 species